AGAGUUUGAUCCUGGCUCAGGACGAACGCUGGCGGCGUGCUUAACACAUGCAAGUCGAGCGGAAAGGCCCUUCGGGGUACUCGAGCGGCGAACGGGUGAGUAACACGUGAGUAAUCUGCCCCUAGCUCUGGGAUAGCUCCGGGAAACCGGGAUUAAUACCAGAUAUGACCACUUUAGACAUCUGCUGUGGUGGAAAGAAUUUCGGCUAGGGAUGAGCUCGCGGCCUAUCAGCUUGUUGGUGGGGUAACGGCCUACCAAGGCGACGACGGGUAGCCGGCCUGAGAGGGCGACCGGCCACACUGGGACUGAGACACGGCCCAGACUCCUACGGGAGGCAGCAGUGGGGAAUAUUGCGCAAUGGGCGAAAGCCUGACGCAGCGACGCCGCGUGGGGGAUGAAGGCCUUCGGGUUGUAAACCCCUUUCAGCAGGGACGAAGCGAAAGUGACGGUACCUGCAGAAGAAGCGCCGGCUAACUACGUGCCAGCAGCCGCGGUAACACGUAGGGCGCAAGCGUUGUCCGGAAUUAUUGGGCGUAAAGAGCUCGUAGGCGGUCUGUUGCGUCCGCUGUGAAAACUCGGGGCUUAACCCCGAGCCUGCAGUGGAUACGGGCAGACUAGAGGUAGGUAGGGGAGAAUGGAAUUCCCGGUGUAGCGGUGAAAUGCGCAGAUAUCGGGAGGAACACCGGUGGCGAAGGCGGUUCUCUGGGCCUUACCUGACGCUGAGGAGCGAAAGCGUGGGGAGCGAACAGGAUUAGAUACCCUGGUAGUCCACGCCGUAAACGUUGGGCGCUAGGUGUGGGAUCCUUCCACGGAUUCCGUGCU
rnacentral:rRNA from 1 species